rnacentral:rRNA from 1 species
CCUACGGGAGGCUGCAGUGAGGAAUAUUGGUCAAUGGACGAGAGUCUGAACCAGCCAAGUAGCGUGAAGGAUGACUGCCCUAUGGGUUGUAAACUUCUUUUAUAAAGGAAUAAAACGAGGCACGUGUGCCUUUUUGCAUGUACUUUAUGAAUAAGGAUCGGCUAACUCCGUGCCAGCAGCCGCGGUAAUACGGAGGAUCCGAGCGUUAUCCGGAUUUAUUUGGUUUAAAGGGAGCGUAGAUGGGUUGUUAAGUCAGUUGUGAAAGUUUGCGGCUCAACCGUAAAAUUGCAAUUGAUACUGGCAGUCUUGAGUACAGUUGAGGUAGGCGGAAUUCGUGGUGUAGCGGUGAAAUGCUUAGAUAUCACGAAGAACUCCGAUUGCGAAGGCAGCUUACUAAACUGCCACUGACAUUGAUGCUCGAAAGUGUGGGUAUCAAACAGGAUUAGAUACCCGGGUAGUC